GGCGGUCGGAGUUGCCGGUGCAUCCGGUAUUGUGGUUGCCGCAACGGGCGUUCCGCUCGCGCCGCCGCCGC
rnacentral:tRNA from 1 species